AUUGAACGCUGGCGGCAUGCCUUACACAUGCAAGUCGAACGGAUUUGGGGGCUUGCUCCCAAGUUAGUGGCGAACGGGUGAGUAAAGCAUCGGAACGUACCCAGUCGUGGGGGAUAACGUAGCGAAAGUUACGCUAAUACCGCAUACGUCCUGAGGGAGAAAGCGGGGGAUCGCAAGACCUCGCGCGAUUGGAGCGGCCGAUGUCGGAUUAGCUAGUUGGUGAGGUAAAGGCUCACCAAGGCGACGAUCCGUAGCUGGUCUGAGAGGACGACCAGCCACACUGGAACUGAGACACGGUCCAGACUCCUACGGGAGGCAGCAGUGGGGAAUUUUGGACAAUGGGCGAAAGCCUGAUCCAGCCAUGCCGCGUGAGUGAAGAAGGCCUUCGGAUUGUAAAGCUCUUUCAGACGGGAAGAAAAUGUACGGGCUAAUACCCAGUGCAGAUGACGGUACCGUAAGAAGAAGCACCGGCUAACUACGUGCCAGCCGCCGCAGUAAGAC
rnacentral:rRNA from 1 species